rnacentral:rRNA from 1 species
UACGAAGGGGGCUAGCGUUGCUCGGAAUCACUGGGCGUAAAGGGCGCGUAGUCGGCCAUUCAAGUCGGAGGUGAAAGCCCAGGGCUCAACCCUGGAAUUGCCUUCGAUACUGUUUGGCUAGAGACCGGAAGAGGUAAGUGGAACUGCGAGUGUAGAGGUGAAAUUCGUAGAUAUCCGCAAGAACACCAGUGGCGAAGGCGGCUUACUGGUCCGGUUCUGACGCUGAGGCGCGAAAGCGUGGGGAGCAAACAGG